rnacentral:rRNA from 1 species
AGUGAACGCUGGCGGCAGGCCUAACACAUGCAAGUCGAGCGGCAGCGGGUCCUUCGGGAUGCCGGCGAGCGGCGGACGGGUGAGGAAUACAUCGGAAUCUGCCCUGUCGUGGGGGAUAACCUAGGGAAACUUAGGCUAAUACCGCAUACGACCUACGGGUGAAAGCGGGGGAUCGCAAGACCUCGCGCGACAGGAUGAGCCGAUGUCCGAUUAGCUAGUUGGCGGGGUAAAGGCCCACCAAGGCGACGAUCGGUAGCUGGUCUGAGAGGAUGAUCAGCCACACGGGGACUGAGACACGGCCCAGACUCCUACGGGAGGCAGCAGUGGGGAAUAUUGGACAAUGGGCGCAAGCCUGAUCCAGCCAUGCCGCGUGGGUGAAGAAGGCCUUCGGGUUGUAAAGCCCUUUUGUCCGGGAAGAAAUCGUCUGGGCUAAUACCCCGGGCGGAUGACGGUACCGGAAGAAUAAGCACCGGCUAACUUCGUG